rnacentral:tRNA from 1 species
UGCCGAAUAGCUCAGUUGGAGAGCGUUAGACUGAAGAUUAAAGGUCCCUGGUUCGAUCCCGGGUUCGGCAG